CCUGGUGGUCAUAGCGAGGAGCCUAUACCCGAUCCCAUCCCGAACUCGGCCGUCAAAGUCCUCUGCGCCGAUGGUACUAAACCUCAAGGUUUGGAAGAGUAGGUCGCUGCCAGGC
rnacentral:rRNA from 1 species